UAUGGAGAGUUUGAUCCUGGCUCAGAGUGAACGCUGGCGGCGUGCCUAAUACAUGCAAGUCGAACGAUGAAGCUUUUAGCUUGCUAGAAGUGGAUUAGUGGCGCACGGGUGAGUAAGGUAUAGUUAAUCUGCCCUACACUGGGGGACAACACUUAGAAAUGAGUGCUAAUACCCCAUACUCCUAUUUAACAUAAGUUAGGUAGGGAAAGUUUUUCGGUGUAGGAUGAGACUAUAUAGUAUCAGCUAGUUGGUAAGGUAAAGGCUUACCAAGGCUAUGACGCUUAACUGGUCUGAGAGGAUGAUCAGUCACACUGGAACUGAGACACGGUCCAGACUCCUACGGGAGGCAGCAGUAGGGAAUAUUGCGCAAUGGGCGAAAGCCUGACGCAGCAACGCCGCGUGGAGGAUGACACUUUUCGGAGCGUAAACUCCUUUUCUUUGGGAAGAAUUUUGACGGUACC
rnacentral:rRNA from 1 species